rnacentral:misc_RNA from 1 species
UUUCCGUAGGUGAACCUGCGGAAGGAUCAUUAAAAAUGAAGCCGGGAAACCGGUCCUUCUAACCCUUGAUUAUCUUAAUUUGUUGCUUUGGUGGGCCGCGCAAGCACCGGCUUCGGCCGGAUCGUGCCCGCCAGAGGACACAACUCUGUAUCAAAUGUCGUCUGAGUACUAUAAAAUAGUUAAAACUUUCAACAACGGAUCUCUUGGUUCUG